AUGCUCACUUUGACAGCACGUAUACUAAAACUGGAAUAAUACAGAGAAGAUUAGCAUGGUCCAUGCACAAGAAUAAAAUAAUUUUAAAAAGAAGAUACUGAGUAGG
rnacentral:snRNA from 1 species